AUGCCGGCCACCGCAGGUAGGGUUCGCAUGCCGGCAAACAAUCGGGUACAUAGUAGUUCUGCCCUUCAAACUCAUGGUAUAUGGCAGAGUACAAUUGGGUAUGAUCCGUAUGCACCUAAGCCGACUUUGUCAAACUCAAACACAAAACCAGAUACCGAUCAGAAUCCAUAUGCUAACUACCAAGGCCUUCUCCAACUCGCUCGUUUAACCGCGCCGAGUGCUGACGUGGUUCGUGGAGCGUGCAAGAGGUGCGGCCGGGUUGGCCACCUCACCUAUCAAUGUAGGAACUUUCUGAGUGUUCAGGACAACGAGAAGGAGGAUGACCCUGAAGCUACUCAGGCUGAUGUUGCUUCUCAGUUGGGUAAGUUGAAGGGGAAGCUCGGUAAGGCGAAGGAAAAAGAUGUUGUGAAGACUGAUAGUGAGGAUGAGGAGGACGACAGUGAGAGUUCAAAUUCCGACUAUGAUUCCGAUAUGAAGAGGCUCAUUGAUCAAAGAUGUGGGAAAAAGAGUGUUCGAAAAGAUAAGCUGAAGAAGAAGAAGAAUAGGGGCUCAGAUGUUGAUGGGUCAGAUACAGACUCUGAGGAGAGGAAGAAGAAGAGAGGAAGGUCAAAGAAGAGGAGAAGCAGAAAGAGGAAACAUGAUGAUUCAGACGAUUCCGAGAAAGAUAGGAAGAAAAGAAGGAAGAGUAAAGGGAGAAAGAGGGAUGAGUCCUCGGAUGAGGAUGGCAAACGACGUCAACGACAUAGGAAGAAGAAGAAGAAGAAAGAAAAGUAACGUAAACUACCUAACCUGUACUCGUCGUUCUCUCUCUCUCCAUUUCUAUCCCCAAAAACUCUAGACACCAGCUUCAAAUCUUGUCAGCUUUCCCGUCAGAUCACCCCAGAGGCCUCCCUCUCAUUUCCCAAACGGGUCAUACAAACCAAGGAUGGUGUGUUCUGGGUAUUUGGAUAUGGUUCACUUGUGUGGAACCCUGGUUUCGAGUACGACGAGAAAGUGAUAGGUUUCAUCAAGGACUACAAGCGUGUCUUUGAUCUGGCUUGCAUUGAUCAUCGGGGUACACCUGAGCACCCUGCAAGAACUUGCACGUUGGAACACCAAGAAGGGGCUAUUUGCUGGGGUGCUGCUUAUUCUGUGCUAGGCGGCCCUGAAAAGGAAAGACUGGCUAUGGAGUACUUGGAAAAGAGAGAAUGUGAAUAUGAUGCAAAGACUCUUGUGAACUUUUACAAGGAAGGGGACUUCUCUGAUGAGCCUUCUUUGACAGGAGUCAUUGUUUUCACAUCUACACCAGACAAAGAAUCAAACAAGUAUUACUUGGGUCCUGCUCCACUGGAGGAUAUGGUAAGACAACUUGCGACUGCUUCUGGGCCAUGUGGAAACAACAGAGAGUACUUAUUUCUGCUGGAAAAGGCUAAACUGGAGAACCCCUAUUUGCAACAUAUUGGACAUCUAGAGGAUUAUAUUAUAGAGCUUGCAAAUGAGGUGAGGAAUGUACUUGGAAUUGUUGGGAAGAAUUCCAAAGGAUAAGAAGUCCCACAUUCCAGCCAUUCAAGUGCGUCCCCUUCCUGAAGCCAUUGCCAUGGACUCGUAA